GGUCAGGGGCCGUGGAUGAGCAGCUUGCGAACCCCGCCAGGUCCUGACGGAAGCAACGGCAGCAUGCCUGUUUUUGCCGCGGUUCCCUGACACUU
rnacentral:SRP_RNA from 1 species